rnacentral:rRNA from 1 species
AGAGUUUGAUCAUGGCUCAGAUUGAACGCUGGCGGCAUGCCUUACACAUGCAAGUCGAACGGCAGCACGGGAGCAAUCCUGGUGGCGAGUGGCGAACGGGUGAGUAAUAUAUCGGAACGUGCCCAGUCGUGGGGGAUAACGCAGCGAAAGCUGUGCUAAUACCGCAUACGAUCUAUGGAUGAAAGCGGGGGACUCGCAAGAGCCUCGCGCGAUUGGAGCGGCCGAUAUCAGAUUAGCUUGUUGGUGGGGUAAAAGCCCACCAAGGCGACGAUCUGUAGCUGGUCUGAGAGGACGACCAGCCACACUGGAACUGAGACACGGUCCAGACUCCUACGGGAGGCAGCAGUGGGGAAUUUUGGACAAUGGGCGCAAGCCUGAUCCAGCAACGCCGCGUGCAGGAUGAAGGCCUUCGGGUUGUAAACUGCUUUUGUACGGAACGAAACGGCUCUUUCUAAUAAAGAGGGCUAAUGGCGGUACCGUAAGAAUAAGCACCGGCUAACUACGUGCCAGCAGCCGCGGUAAUACGUAGGGUGCGAGCGUUAAUCGGAAUUACUGGGCGUAAAGCGUGCGCAGGCGGUUAUAUAAGACAGAUGUGAAAUCCCCGGGCUCAACCUGGGACCUGCAUUUGUGACUGUAUAGCUAGAGUACGGUAGAGGGGGAUGGAAUUCCGCGUGUAGCAGUGAAAUGCGUAGAUAUGCGGAGGAACACCGAUGGCGAAGGCAAUCCCCUGGACCUGUACUGACGCUCAUGCACGAAAGCGUGGGGAGCAAACAGGAUUAGAUACCCUGGUAGUCCACGCCCUAAACGAUGUCAACUGGUUG